GACGUAGGGCGCGAGCGUUGUCCGGAUUCAUUGGGCGUAAAGGGUGCGUAGGUGGCGCUGUAAGUCGGGUGUGAAAUUUCGGAGCUUAACUCCGAAACUGCAUUCGAUACUGCGGUGCUUGAGGACUGGAGAGGAGACUGGAAUUCAUGGUGUAGCAGUGAAAUGCGUAGAGAUCAUGAGGAAGACCAGUGGCGAAGGCGGGUCUCUGGACAGUUCCUGACACUGAGGCACGAAGGCCAGGGGAGCAAACGGG
rnacentral:rRNA from 1 species